CCCCUAGACAUUCUGGGCCGCACGCGUACUACACUGAUGCAUGCAGUAAGUUAACCUAACCUGAAGAGGGCUGGGUAAUCUUUUCAAAGUGCAUCGUGCUUGGGAUAGAUCAUUGUAAUUAUUGAUCUUGAACGAGGAAUUCCUAGUAAGCAUGUGUCAUCAGCGCAUACUGAUUACGUCCCUGCCCUUUGUACACACCGCCCGUCGCUCCUACCGAUUCGAGUGAUUCGGCGAAUUCUCCGGACUGGCACUCACGUGCUGGGAAGUUGUGUAAGCCAUAUCACUUAGAGGAAGGAUAAGGCGUAACA
rnacentral:rRNA from 1 species